rnacentral:piRNA from 1 species
UAGCUAUCAAUGUCUGCCCGGGGUGCAU